UACAGAGGUCUCAAGCGUUGUUCGGAUUCAUUGGGCGUAAGGGUGUGUAGGUGGCGCGCUAAGUCGGGUGUGAAAUUUCGGAGCUUAACUCCGAAACUGCAUUCGAUACUGCCGUGCUUGAGGACUGGAGAGGAGACUGGAAUUCACGGUGUAGCAGUGAAAUGCGUAGAGAUCGUGAGGAAGACCAGUGGCGAAGGCGGGUCUCUGGACAGUUCCUGACACU
rnacentral:rRNA from 1 species